rnacentral:rRNA from 1 species
AUUGAACGCUGGCGGCAUGCCUUACACAUGCAAGUCGAACGGCAGCACGGGAGCAAUCCUGGUGGCGAGUGGCGAACGGGUGAGUAAUAUAUCGGAACGUGCCCAGUCGUGGGGGAUGACGUAGCGAAAGCUACGCUAAUACCGCAUACGAUCUAUGGAUGAAAGCGGGGGAUCGCAAGACCUCGCGCGAUUGGAGCGGCCGAUAUCAGAUUAGGUAGUUGGUGGGUAAAGGCUCACCAAGCCAACGAUCUGUAGCUGGUCUGAGAGGACGACCAGCCACACUGGAACUGAGACACGGUCCAGACUCCUACGGGAGGCAGCAGUGGGGAAUUUUGGACAAUGGACGCAAGUCUGAUCCAGCCAUUCCGCGUGCAGGAUGAAGGCCCUCGGGUUGUAAACUGCUUUUGUACGGAACGAAAAGGUCUCUCUUAAUACGGGGGACUCAUGACGGUACCGUAAGAAUAAGCACCGGCUAACUACGUGCCAGCAGCCGCCGUAA